rnacentral:tRNA from 1 species
CGGGGUGUAGCUCAAUUGGCUAGAGUGUGCGCUUUGGGAGCGUAAGGUUGAGAGUUCGAGUCUCUCCACCCCGA